AUGCCAUUUGAUAAACACUGUGCAUUGGCUCACAUUGCCAUUAGUGAAGCAAGGAUUACAGGAAGAUGUUUACUGUUGAAUACAUGUGGCACGUCAUCCAAGGGCCCCGGUGAAGUGCCAUUCCUCAAGACAUUCUGGGAGGUGCUGGAGUCUCCUGAGAUAAAGCAGAGAAAGAGAAAGGUAGCAUCGUGCCACCUGCCUCAGGCCUAAGGGCAUUUGAGGUUGCGGAGAGAAGAUCAGAUCAAAAGUUACAAAACGUACCUGGCAAUUAAGCUGUGGUCAUGUGAAAUCCUCCAAGCCUCUGAGAUAGGGGUGAAGCUUAUGGCUCUCCAGGAUUGCUGAUGUCUGUGAGCCAAAGAAGGAAGAACACCCUGAGGCAGGGGCUGACCGAUCUGCCCACAGCUGAUGGGCUGGGAACUUGCCGGUGGAUCCUUCCCCUCUCCAAAUGGUGAAUUGUAAAUAUAAGCACAAAGAGGAAGCAGCAAUGAGCAUUUCCUCUGUCGCUCAUCUUCAAUAAAACCACAGACUCCUUUUGCAGCUCCUUUCUGCUCUUCUCCCUGGCUGGCUGAGGGAUCACUGUGCAUCUGUCACUGUACUUACUAGAAUUUGCCCCUUCUCCUAUAAUAAAGGAUGAGUAUUCUCAGCCCCUUCUCCACCUCCUUCUAUGAAAGUGGUGUUUCCGACAGAUAAGAAUCUGCAAGCCUGAAAGGUGGGUCUCCAAGCUGCAGGUGGAGCCAUGAUCUCCCUCCUGUUGGGAUACUUGAAAGUAAGAUUUUUCCAUCCAUAACCUACUGCCCACCUUCUGACUGAGGGGCUAGGCUGAACAGGGGUCCAGUGGUCACUGGAUGGAAGGACAUACCCUCACUUGGCAUACUUUUCCGUUUGUUUCUGUAGCACUUACUGCCUUUUGUCAAAAUUUAUAAUCCACGUGGUACUUAUUGUUGGUUGUCCAGCACCCAACAUAUGAGACUGACAAUAGAUAUUUGUUAAGCAAAGUUUAGGAUGACUGAAAUAUGGUACAGGAUAAGUAGGAAAUCGGGUUUGAGAUGGAAGGCCAAGGAUUAAUGCUAACUUGGCAUUUUCUAAGGGGCUUCCAAGGGUCAUGAAAGCCAAGUUUUAAAAAACCAGGAAAGAAUAAAAAAGUCAAAACUACCAUUUGAGAGUAUCACUCUUGUG
ensembl:lncRNA